rnacentral:rRNA from 1 species
GUCGACGGUAGCACAGAGAGCUUGCUCUCGGGUGACGAGUGGCGGACGGGUGAGUAAUGUCUGGGAAACUGCCUGAUGGAGGGGGAUAACUACUGGAAACGGUAGCUAAUACCGCAUAACGUCGCAAGACCAAAGAGGGGGACCUUCGGGCCUCUUGCCAUCAGAUGUGCCCAGAUGGGAUUAGCUAGUAGGUGGGGUAACGGCUCACCUAGGCGACGAUCCCUAGCUGGUCUGAGAGGAUGACCAGCCACACUGGAACUGAGACACGGUCCAGACUCCUACGGGAGGCAGCAGUGGGGAAUAUUGCACAAUGGGCGCAAGCCUGAUGCAGCCAUGCCGCGUGUAUGAAGAAGGCCUUCGGGUUGUAAAGUACUUUCAGCGGGGAGGAAGGUGUUGUGGUUAAUAACCGCAGCAAUUGACGUUACCCGCAGAAGAAGCACCGGCUAACUCCGUGCCAGCAGCCGCGGUAAUACGGAGGGUGCAAGCGUUAAUCGGAAUUACUGGGCGUAAAGCGCACGCAGGCGGUCUGUCAAGUCGGAUGUGAAAUCCCCGGGCUCAACCUGGGAACUGCAUUCGAAACUGGCAGGCUGGAGUCUCGUAGAGGGAGGUAGAAUUCCAGGUGUAGCGGUGAAAUGCGUAUAGAUCUGGAGGAAUACCGGU